rnacentral:rRNA from 1 species
UACGUAGGGGGCGAGCGUUGUCCGGAUUCAUUGGGCGUAAAGAGCUCGUAGGCGGCUUGUCAAGUCGGGUGUGAAACCUCCAGGCUCAACCUGGAGACGCCACUCGAGACUGUCAUGGCUAGAGUCCGGUAGGGGAUCACGGAAUUCGUGGUGUAGCGGUGAAAUGCGUAGAGAUCGGCAGGAACACCCAGGGGGAAACCAGUCGACUGGGCAUCUACUGACGCUGAGGUGCGAGAGCGUGGGGAGCGAACCGG